CAGUAGCCGCGGUAAUACAGAGGGUGCAAGCGUUAAUCGGAAUUACUGGGCGUAAAGCGCGCGUAGGUGGUUCGCCAAGUUGGAUGUGAAAUCCCCGGGCUCAACCUGGGAACUGCAUCCAAAACUGGCGAGCUAGAGUAUGGUAGAGGGUGGUGGAAUUUCCUGUGUAGCGGUGAAAUGCGUAGAUAUAGGAAGGAACAUCAGUGGCGAAGGCGACCACCUGGACUGAUACUGACACUGAGGUGCGAAAGCGUGGGGAGCAAACAGGAUUAGAUACCCCUGUAGUCCCUGUCUCUUAUAU
rnacentral:rRNA from 1 species